GGAUCAUUACCGAGUUUACAACUCCCAAACCCAAUGUGAACGUUACCAAACUGUUGCCUCGGCGGGAUCUCUGCCCCGGGUGCGUCGCAGCCCCGGACCAAGGCGCCCGCCGGAGGACCAACCAAAACUCUUUUUGUAUACCCCCUCGCGGGUUUUUUAUAAUCUGAGCCUUCUCGGCGCCUCUCGUAGGCGUUUCGAAAAUGAAUCAAAACUUUCAACAACGGAUCUCUUGGUUCUGGCAUCGAUGAAGAACGCAGCGAAAUGCGAUAAGUAAUGUGAAUUGCAGAAUUCAGUGAAUCAUCGAAUCUUUGAACGCACAUUGCGCCCGCCAGUAUUCUGGCGGGCAUGCCUGUCCGAGCGUCAUUUCAACCCUCGAACCCCUCCGGGGGGUCGGCGUUGGGGAUCGGCCCUCCCUUAGCGGGUGGCCGUCUCCGAAAUACAGUGGCGGUCUCGCCGCAGCCUCUCCUGCGCAGUAGUUUGCACACUCGCAUCGGGAGCGCGGCGCGUCCACAGCCGUUAAACACCCAACUUCUGAAAUGUUGACCUCGGAUCAGGUAGGAAUACCCGCUGAACUUAAGCAUAU
rnacentral:rRNA from 1 species